UUGCAACGGUGUUGUUUUUAGCAAUGGCAAUCGAAAUAAAGCUAAUAAGUGUACGUUUUCUACCCGACGUGCAAAAAUUCGUUGAGAUCAGAGCGAGGGAACGUAAAUCCUGAGUCUCGCUAAUCCCUCAGCGGCGGCCAUGUUUGAGAAGAGAAGCGGCGGGGAGAGAGCUGGCUGGUCUGGGCGAGGGAGGCGACCAUACCCCGGGCUGGAGGGACGCUAGGGAGGGGCAGGGAGGGGGGUCAGGACGCAAGGGGGUCGGAAUGUGAAGCUGAAGAUCGAAUAAUACUCGAAGUCGAUCGUUACAGACCCCUGAUCAUGGACUGUGAAAACAGACCACAACAGGAUUCCCAACUAGACCUCAUCCAGCCUGCGCAAUGACAGGAAGUUGACAGAAUAAACCAAUCACUGGCUAGACAAGAAGGCACGUGACUUCUCUCAGUCUCAAGAGAGCCUGUGAAGGGUAUGUAUGCGGCCUGAAAACUGAUAAUCUGUAGAGCAACCCGUAUAAGAAUGAAACUAUACGUUCCUAUGAAGUAUAUAGCUGAAAAAUGGGUGACCAAAUCCAUUUUUCCCCUGCCAAAUAAUCUUCAGAGUCGAGUGUCACAUCCGCGAAAACUUUAUUACUCCUGGAUGUGAGCAUGGUCAAAUGUUUGUCAAGACAAAAGUAAUAAAUCCGCAAUAAAUAUCUAUGUUGGAAUGAUAUCUGUGUAAGACCGUUCGAAUCAUGAAAUGUGCAAUAAAAUGUAUAGAUUUC